GGCUCACCAAGGCGACGAUCCGUAACUGGUCUGAGAGGAUGAUCAGUCACACUGGAACUGAGACACGGUCCAGACUCCUACGGGAGGCAGCAGUGGGGAAUAUUGGACAAUGGGCGAAAGCCUGAUCCAGCCAUGCCGCGUGUGUGAAGAAGGUCUUCGGAUUGUAAAGCACUUUAAGUUGGGAGGAAGGGCAGUUACCUAAUACGUGAUUGUUUUGACGUUACCGACAGAAUAAGCACCGGCUAACUCUGUGCCAGCAGCCGCGGUAAUACAGAGGGUGCAAGCGUUAAUCGGAAUUACUGGGCGUAAAGCGCGCGUAGGUGGUUUGUUAAGUUGGAUGUGAAAUCCCCGGGCUCAACCUGGGAACUGCAUUCAAAACUGACUGACUAGAGUAUGGUAGAGGGUGGUGGAAUUUCCUGUGUAGCGGUGAAAUGCGUAGAUAUAGGAAGGAACACCAGUGGCGAAGGCGACCACCUGGACUAAUACUGACACUGAGGUGCGAAAGCGUGGGGAGCAAACAGG
rnacentral:rRNA from 1 species